rnacentral:rRNA from 1 species
UACGGAGGGGGCUAGCGUUGUUCGGAAUUACUGGGCGUAAAGCGCGCGUAGGCGGGCUGUUAAGUCGGGGGUGAAAUCCCGGGGCUCAACCCCGGAACGGCCUCCGAUACUGGCAGCCUUGAGGUCGGGAGAGGUGAGUGGAAUGGCGAGUGUAGAGGUGAAAUUCGUAGAUAUUCGCCGGAACACCAGUGGCGAAGGCGGCUCACUGGCCCGAUACUGACGCUGAGGUGUGACAGCGUGGGGAGCAAACAGG